GUAAUGUAAUAUCUCAGAAAAUAUAAUGAUAUUUAAUUGAGUAUAUUUUAUUAAAUAUGUGAUUAAGUGAGUAUUAGAGUAGGAUUAUACUACUUAAGCUAAUUACAAGUUAAUUGGUGAAAUAUGAUUAAAGAAACAAAUAAAGCGUAAUUUAUUAAUUACGGAGAUUUUUGGACUACGGGGGUGUCGUGGAUACCAUUUCCAAAAUAAAAUAUUGUCGGGUUCGACGACCGUGAAAACUCGAUGGAGUGAUCAAGAUGUCACGACGAUAUCAGAUGGAUUAAUUAGAAUUGGAAUUAUACCGAACUAGUAUAGAAUUUUAAGUUAUCGGUUUGGCAAGAUUAGUUAGAAUGACCAAAAUACUCCUAGGACCUAUUUUAGGCUAUUGUGUUUUUGAGGGGCAAAAUAGUCUUUUGUGGGAUUUAAAGUUUUGUCUUUUAUGCAUGUAACAUCUAGCUGAAAUAGAAAUUAAUUUGGGUUAUUUUCUUUAUUUGAAUUAAAUGAUAAAGUAGAAAUUAGAUGUAAAAACCUAAUUAAGUGAUAUUGACAUCAACCUCUUUCUCUUUCCAUCUCUCACGACAACCCUAAGAACCAGUUGGGCUAGGAGAAUUCAUUAAGCAAUCUUACAAUUUUUAGAAAAAACAAUUAAGGUUUAGGGAAUGUUCAAAGCUUGGAGGACCCGGGAUCGUCAAGCUUUGUUUCCAUUCAAGUUGGCUUGUACGCUUGAUUUCUGGACUGAGGUAAGAAAUAUUUAUGCGCCGCUAAGUAGUUAAAUAAGAAGCGUUUAUAAUCGUUAGUGUACCUCGAUUAAGAUCGAGUUUAAUAAUAUGAAUUAUUGUGACUCGAUUGUGAUCGAGAUGAUGAUGGACGAUUAUUAUCCUUUGUGACUCGAUUAUAAUCGAGGUAAUGAUGAGAAAUAAUUAUUGUUUUUUACUCGAUUAUGAUCGAGAGAAAGAUACAUUCAUUACUGUUAUUGUGAAUGAAUAAAGAUACAGUCAUUAACGUUAUUAGUAAUUACUCGUUGAAACAGUUAGGUUUUCUUACUUAUCGUUCGCUUUAUCAGGCAACGAUAGUAACAUACACAGCUCCUGGAUAAUGAGUGGUAAGAGUGCUUUAUGAAGCACUGGAAUUUUGUGAAUAUAGAGAUAUGUGAUUAGAAUGCUUUAUAAGGCACUAAGAUUAUGUGAAUAUCAGUUUAUUGUAAUGAUGAAGUUGUUGACUAUGAGUUGUUACGACUUUCUUAUAAUGUGUGGUAUAUGUGUUUGUAUAGACGCUAAAUUAUAUAUGCAUGCUGAAUAUAUUUUGAAUCAGGAGUAUGUAUAUUAUGUUGUGAUGUGAUUACUUACGUUUUCAAUACCUUCGAUCCUAUAGAUUUUCUUGCUGAGUCAUUGUGACUCACGAGUGCUUCGUGGUGCUGGUAAGGAGGAUAGGAGCUAUGUUCAGCCGUUAGUCAGAGGUCUCCCAGUAAUGUAGAUAAUCAGCUGUGGUGUCUUGGCUUCUGGGAAGUAGGAUCGAUCCUUUUUCUAUGUUUGAGAGUGUAACCUUACUUUCGUAAUAUCGGUUUUGUAACUAGUCAUAAAAGAAUUUUAUAAUUAGGGGAUCCCUGUAUUGUGACAGUAGUUUGUAUGAAAGUUUUAUUUUAAAUUUAAUCAAAGGUUUUAAAUUAAACCACACUUUUACCUAAA